rnacentral:rRNA from 1 species
GGCGAAAGCCUGACGCAGCAACGCCGCGUGGAGGAUGAAGGCCCUUCGGGUUGUAAACUCCUUUUCUGUGGGAAGAGGAAGGACGGUACCACAGGAAGAAGUCUCGGCUAACUACGUGCCAGCAGCCGCGGUAAAACGUAGGAGGCGAGCGUUAUCCGGAUUUACUGGGUGUAAAGCGCGUGCAGGCGGUCUGGUAAGUCGAGCGUGAAAGCUCCCGGCUCAACCGGGAGAGGACGUGCGAAACUGCGAGGCUAGAGACAGGUAGAGGCGCACGGAAUUCCGGGUGUAGUGGUGAAAUGCGUAGAUAUCCGGAGGAACACCAGUGGCGAAGGCGGUACGCUGGGCCUGGUCUGACGCUAAGACGCGAAAGCAUGGGGAGCGAACGGGAUUAGAAACCCCGGUAGUCCAUGCCGUAAACGAUGCUAACUAGGUGUUGCGGGUAAAAGACCGGCAGUGCCGGAGUUAACGCGAUAAGUUAGCCACCUGGGGACUACGGUCGCAAGGCUAAAACUCAAAGGAAUUGACGGGGGCCCGCACAAGCAGCGGAGCGUGUGGUUUAAUUCGAGGCUACACGAAGAACCUUACCUGGGCUUGACAUGACGGUGGUAGGGAACCGAAAGGGGACCGACCUUCGGGAGCUGCCACAGGUGCUGCAUGGCUGUCGUCAGCUCGUGUCGUGAGAUGUUCGGUUAAGUCCGGUAACGAGCGCAACCCUCAUCGCUAGUUACAAGUGUCUAGCGAGACUGCCCGUUCAACGCGGGAGGAAGGCGGGGAUGACGUCAAGUCAGCAUGGCCUUUAUGUCCAGGGCUACACACACGCUACAAUGGCCGGUACAAUGGGUCGCCAACCCGCGAGGGGGAGCCAAUCCACCAAAGCCGGUCACAGUUCGAAUUGCAGGCUGCAACCCGCCUGCAUGAAGUCGGAGUUGCUAGUAACCGCAGGUCAGCUAUACUGCGGUGAAUACGUUCCCGGGCCUUGUACACACCGCCCGUCACGUCAUGGGAGCUGGUCAUGCCUGAAGUCGGUGAGCCAACCGCAAGGAGGCAGCCGCCUAAGG